rnacentral:rRNA from 1 species
UACGUAGGCAGCGAGCGUUGUUCGGAGUUACUGGGCGUAAAGCGUGCGUAGGCGGUCUUGUAAGUUUGGUGUGAAAUCUCCCGGCUCAACUGGGAGGGUGCGCCGAAAACUGCAAGGCUGGAGUAUGGGAGAGGUAGGCGGAAUUCCUGGUGUAGCGGUGAAAUGCGUAGAUAUCAAGAGGAACACCUGCGGCGAAGGCGGGUUGCUGGGCCGACACUGACGCUGAGGCGCGAAAGCUAGGGGAGCGAACGGG